rnacentral:rRNA from 1 species
GACGAACGCUGGCGGCGUGCUUAACACAUGCAAGUCGAACGGAAAGGCCUUGCUUUUGUGGGGUGCUCGAGUGGCGAAAGGGUGAGUAACACGUGAGUAACCUGCCCUUGACUUUGGGAUAACUUCAGGAAACUGGGGCUAAUACCGGAUAGGAGCUCCUGCUGCAUGGUGGGGGUUGGAAAGUUUCGGCGGUUGGGGAUGGACUCGCGGCUUAUCAGCUUGUUGGUGGGGUAGUGGCUUACCAAAGCUUUGACGGGUAGCCGGCCUGAGAGGGUGACCGGCCACAUUGGGACUGAGAUACGACCCAUACUCCUACGGGGGGCAGCAGUGAGGAUCAUUGCGCGAUGGGCAGAGGCCUGAAGCAGCAACUCCGCAUGCUGGAUGACUGCCUUCGGGUUGGAAACCUCUUUCGCCUGUAACGAAGCGUGAGUGACGGUAAUGGGUAAGAAAGCACCGGCUAACUACGUG